UACAGAGGUCUCAAGCGUUGUUCGGAUUCAUUGGGCGUAAAGGGUGCGUAGGUGGCGCCGUAAGUCGGGUGUGAAAUUCGGAUGCUUAACUCCGAAACUGCAUUCGAUACUGCGGUGCUUGAGGACUGGAGAGGGAUGCGGAAUUCCAGGUGUAGCGGUGAAAUGCGUAGAUAUCUGGAGGAACACCGGUGGCGAAGGCGGCAUCCUGGACCAACACUGACACUGAGGAGCGAAAGCCAGGGGAGCAAACGGG
rnacentral:rRNA from 1 species